AAUCAUAAGGGGCAAAUCUAUCGAGAGAUUGAGACGCAAAGCCACGGGUCUUAGGAUAGUACAGAAUGUCUAUCAAAGAUAGCCGGGUUGCAGAA
rnacentral:ncRNA from 1 species